UACGAAGGGGGCUAGCGUUGCUCGGAAUCACUGGGCGUAAAGGGUGCGUAGGCGGGUCUUUAAGUCAGGGGUGAAAUCCUGGAGCUCAACUCCAGAACUGCCUUUGAUACUGAGGAUCUUGAGUUCGGGAGAGGUGAGUGGAACUGCGAGUGUAGAGGUAAAAUUCGUAGAUAUUCGCAAGAACACCAGUGGCGAAGGCGGCUCACUGGCCCGAUACUGACGCUGAGGCACGAAAGCGUGGGGAGCAAACAGG
rnacentral:rRNA from 1 species